UACCCGCUGAACUUAAGCAUAUCAGUAAGCGGAGGAAAAGAAACUAACAAGGAUUCCCUAGUACGGCGAGUGAAGCGGGAUGAGCUCAAGCUUAAAAUCUCCGACACGAAUUUAUUUGUGCGGCGAAUUGUAGUCUAUAGAGGCGUGGUCAGUGUAGGUUCUCGAGAUAAGUUUCUUGAAAAAGAACAGCAUGGAGGGUGAAACUCCCGUUCAUACUUGAGUUACUUGCGCGUACGACCCGUUUUCUUUGAGUCGCGUUGUUUGAGAAUGCAGCGCAAAGUAGGUGGUAAAUUCCAUCUAAAGCUAAAUAUUGGUGCGAGACCGAUAGUAAACAAGUACCGUGAGGGAAAGAUGAAAAGAACUCUGAAAAGAGAGUUAAAGAGUACCUGAAACUGCUGAAAGGGAACCAAAUCGUUUCUAGUGUCUAUAAUCUGCGACAUAUUUCAUUGGAAAGUAAGUACGUGUGUAUACGGAUGCAGCGGCUAUUUUAUGGCAGCGCUAAGUGUGCAUGUGGUAUAUACAUUCUGGUGCCCUGUGUUGUAGUGGGACGUCAACGUCAGUUUGUAUACUGCAAGAAAUGGCUAUUGAGGAGGUAGGGCUUACGCUUGCGUUUGUCUAUUAUAUCUUGGUAGUUGUGUUGUGGUUGAGACUGAGGUGUUCUACAACGUGCUUUAAUGGGUGGGACUGUGUCUCCGUGUGCGCCGUGUGCGGAUAGCUUGCUAUGUGUGCGUGGAGGUGUGUGGAUUGAUGCGGACUUUAACUUGUUGCCGUUCGGGACGUUGGCGAAAUAGAGCGAUUUGACCCGUCUUGAAACACGGACCAAGGAGUCUAACAUAUGUGCAAGUGUUAGGGUGUGGAAACCCCAGCGCGAAAUGAAAGUAAAGGAUGCUGAAAAGUAUCUUAGGUAGGAAACGUUGUGGAUUUCGGUCUGCGGUGUGGCACUAUCGACCGAUCAUGAACCCUUGUGGUGAAAGAUUUGAGUUUGAGCACAUAUGUUGGUACCCGAAAGAUGGUGAACUAUGCCUGAGUAGGGUGAAGCCAGGGGAAACUCUGGUGGAAGCUCGUA
rnacentral:rRNA from 1 species